CCUGCAUUGCUGGAGGAGUCUUUACUACUGAGCCACCUGGGAAAAGCGUAUUAACAUGUAGACAGAGAAGAAAGUGUAGCUCUGAUCCCGGUGUGGGGUACGUCCACUUUGGAGUUAAAGCAGAAGAGGACAGAGGCCCAGGAGCGCGUGGACAAGGAGGCUGGAAGUGGAGCGGAUUUCCAGGAGGCCUGUGCCCAGCGCUUCCCGCAAGGCCCCUCCCGGCUCUGUCCCCUCGCGUCCCGCCCUGUCCGUCUCCCCGGCCAGACUUCGGCCUCCCAGUUCCCGCCGCCCCUGUCGGUGCCAUCCCCAGACCCGCCAUGCCUUCCGACCUCAGCGGCACCUGGAACCUGCUCAGCAGCGACAACGUCGAGGGCUACAUGCGGGCCCUAGAUAUUGACUUUGCCACUCGUAAGAUAGCCAAGAUGCUGAAGCCACAGAAAGUGAUUGAGCAGAAUGGGGAUUCUUUUACCAUCCACACGAACAGCACCUUCAGGAACUAUGUUGUGAAAUUUAAAGUCGGAGAAGAAUUUGAUGAGGAUAACAAAGGCGUGGAUAACAGAAAAUGCAAGAGCUUGGUCACCUGGGACAAUGACAGACUCACCUGUGUGCAGAAGGGGGAAAAGAAGAACAGAGGCUGGACCCAUUGGAUUGAAGGGGACCAACUCCACCUGGAACUGUUCUGUGAAGGACAAGUGUGUAAGCAGACGUUCCAGAGAGCUUGAUCUGUAUCCAACUGCAGAGUCCACAUGUGGGGACAGCUUGAUGAAUUAUAUUCCAGAAUGAACAGGACAGGAAUGAUCUGUCAGGGUUUGGUGGAUGGGGCCUUGUGAUCAAAGAGACAUCCACACAGCCUAUACCAGAAGCCAUUUGGAUUAAAUAUUUGGAAGACUUCUAAGCACACCAUUGACACAUCAGUGAUGAACAAGUUGUAAUUCCCACCUUCCAAGGAGUGGGCAAGUGGUGGUAGGGGCCUGGGGUAUUUCUGGAAGUAAUCUUUAAGCUGGGACCUGAAGAAAAUGUAAGCAGGAAG